CAUUACCUGAGCUGAAGUCUGACGCUCAACCAACUGAGCCACCCAGGCGCCCACCCCUGUACUGAUUCGUGGACUCCUUAGUGCUGAUUAGCAGAGAGACUGCUAAAGACUUGAAGUCUGGGAACAAAGCAAAACAAAAACCACAUCGUCCCUCUCCUCCCCUCCCCAGCUUCCUACACAGAACAUUUCCAAACAAACUUCUGUACCAUCUCAUGUGAUCGCCUAGGUACACAGCAGCGGCUCCAAGCAAUGUAUUUAUAGUGUUUAUCCCAACACAGUACUCAUGAAACCAUUUAAGUAAAUAUUAUUUUGAUAUUUUCCCU